rnacentral:rRNA from 1 species
GACGAACGCUGGCGGCGUGCUUAACACAUGCAAGUCGAACGGAAAGGCCCUGCUUUUGUGGGGUGCUCGAGUGGCGAACGGGUGAGUAACACGUGAGUAACCUGCCCUUGACUUUGGGAUAACUUCAGGAAACUGGGGCUAAUACCGGAUAGGAGCUCCUGCUGCAUGGUGGUGGUUGGAAAGUUUCGGCUGUUGUGGAUGGACUCGCGGCUUAUCAGCUUGUUGGUGGGGUAGUGGCUUACCAAGGCUUUGACGGGUAGCCGGCCUGAGAGGGUGACCGGCCACAUUGGGACUGAGAUACGGACCAGAAUCCUACGGGAGGCAGCAGUGGGGAAUAUUGCACAAUGGGCGGAAGACUGAUGUAGCAACGCCGCGUGCGGGAUGACGGCCUUCGGGUUGUAAACCGCUUUCGCCUGUAACGAAGAGUGAGUGACGGUAAUGGGUAAAGAAGCAACGGCUAACUACGUG